rnacentral:misc_RNA from 1 species
UACUUCCGGUAGUUGCAUUCGUGGGAUUCCUGAUAUAAAUAUUGUUUACUGCUGCUCGUUUAAUUUCCUUUUGCCUAAAAUGUUCUGGCAAUACUUCUCUGAUCGUUAUUGCUGUUAUAGUCCGACAUAAUAGCAAAGACAGUUCAAUUACUGGAAUCUUAUUUACUCUUUCUUUGCUCUCCAUCACUAUUUUAAUUUUCCACUCCCCGUUUGUUUUAUGUUAGCUACGAUCUGGAUUUACAAUUCACAUUGCCGAUGGAUGGUAUGGAAGACAGUGGCUUUGAUAGUGAUCCUAAGCCGGUUACACAAACAGAACAGCUGAAAAAAAUAGAGAAUUCUAAUCAUGCAAAGAAUGGUGCACAUAUAAAAGCCUUAAAGAAAGCAUCAGAAUUGCAGAAAAAGAUUGAAAGGCAAAGAGAUGCAUCACGCAAAACACAAAAUUUGGCAAUUGACCAACAACCCAAAAGAUCUUUCUUAGCCCGAAAUAGGUCAACUGUUUCCAAGAAUGACAGCAGUGGUCCAUUUAACCAAGACCAGCAGCCUUUAGUUGCGAUUAUGUCAGAUGACAGCAGCGAAGAUGAUUUUACAUCCCAUCUUUCAAAAACUGCCCACAAAGAAAUCACUGAGCAGCUUAUCAAAGAUGGUUUCAACCUUGACUUAGAACCGGAUGAUGAAGACCUUGACCUUAUUCCCCCACGUCCAAUGAAUGAACGAUGUGUGUGUUGCAAUAUGCAUUCGAACUGUGCACUCCAAUGAAUGGGACACUUAUCAACCAAAAAGAAAAACGAAACAAAAAAAGAAGAUUCGUGCUGGAAGAUUCUUGCAUUUAAUUGGAGGUUUGCAGUUGGUUGGAUAAUGUAUUGUUAAAAAUAAAGUUUUAUUAUUUGUUACUAACACUGCACUCCAUCCCUUGGAUAUAAUGCACACCAUUAUGAACUAUGAAUUCAUUUAACAUCCAUUUGCUUCAUGCUAUAUGAGUCGAGCAGAAUUUGUUGAUUUUUCAAUGGUCAGAAAUGUUUUUCAUGGAAAACUAGAAAUGAGAAACACUACUUGCAUGAUGAUGGUGGUGUUCAUUUACUACCAUCAGAUGAUGGCAAGACAAGGGUACAGCUUUACAUCUCAUCCCUGUGGAGCUGAUAAAAAUGAAGUACUAGUCAAGUACAAGAGUCAAUAUCAACAACUAUGCCUUCUACACAAAAAUGUGUCGACAUUAGAAAUUUUAUUUUAUUUUUUAAAAAUUUAAACUGAAAAUGAUU